AUUUAACUACCUAUGUUUUUUGUUUUAUUCAACGCCUGUGCGUAUGAAAACAGACGAUCAGUCAGAGGUCGAAGGAGUAGGGCACCCGCUCGUUGAUUCUUUAACUCACCAGACGCCUCAGCUGAUAGGAGAUACAAAGACAACGAGCACGCCACACCUUCUACCUGUCGCUUCAACACCAACACCAACACCAACGUUUGCUCUCCCCUCUGGGUCUUGGCCUUUGUGGGAGACAUCGACGCCGGUUUCCUCAGUACCUCUGGAUCUACUAUCCGGACCGUUCCC